UCUUCUUUCUUUUGCUGACAAAACCUUUCCCUUUUCUCUCUUCUAUUUUCUCCCUUCUAUCUCUUUGUCCCUCAUUCUCUCUCUUGCAGAAACCCUAGAUCGUCGUCUCCCCUCUUCUUCCUCAUCACUUUCGUUUUCUCUUUCUUCCAUCUCUUUCACUCUCUUUCUCAUUCCUUUCACCAUACUUCUCUCUCCAAGUUUUUUUUCUUCUGAUUUUCUCUCUUUUUUUAUUAAACUCUAGCACCGCCAAUACACCACUCUCUUCUUAACAACAGUAACUUUACCAUAAAACCAUCACCACUCUCCUCUCAUCUCAAACCUAAACUUCAAUCUGCAACUCUUCCACGCGCCUCUCUCGCUUCACGGUUACCGGUGGAGUUGGGUAGCUUGGAAUCAAUGUUGCUGUUGUACAGCGCUGUUGCUUCUGCUCGAUGAGUUUCAAGCUUGGACAUUGAAUCUCUUGGUUGGGGUUUAGUUCCUCAAGGUACUUUGUUUUCUUUGAAUCUCUUGGUUGGGGUUUAGUUCCUCGAGGUACGUUUUUUUCUCUUUUAUCGGCUUUUGAUGUUGAAAUAGCAAUUUUUUUUGUGGACGACAACUACAGGCCGCAAUGAUGUGUUUAUCUUGUGAUUUUUUUCCCUUCUGCCAUCAGCCAUCGACAACAGUGUUGUAUGAAUAUGCCAUUGAUUUUAUGUUGGUGAGAGGCUGGAGCAUAAGGGACACAAAUCCAGCGUGAACAAUGAUAAUGCUUUCUCAAUGGGCCUUUGAUUCUGAAAAUUCACAUUGGAAGAGUCUUUUAGUUCUAAUUUGGGUAUUUGUUCUGUUAUUAGUUAGUUUUUUUCUUGCUUUGAAUCUUUGUUUAAUUUGUUGUGUUUAAUUCGAUUUCAAGUUUACUGUUUUGUUGUUAACUUUAUGAAUUUUCUUUAUGGAUGAACAUUCAUAGUUGUCAAAAUCAAUUCUACUUCACUAGAAUCAAUUCUACGGAAUGAUGGCAGUUGGUUUUACAGCUUCACAAUAGCUAGCUGCUGUUAUUUCUUCAGCUGUUUACUCCCUGUGGAAUCUUUUUCCGGUUUUCUUAUCCCAAAAGCGGUGAGUAAUGUUAUACUUAAAUUUUUUUGAACCAACAGUCACUUUUCUAUCGGCUUCUAAAAACUAAUAAUAUGACAAUAAUUAUGAUGUCUCAGUAUUCCGGGGUGGUGGAUUUUGUUCUAUUAUAUCUGCCCUGUUCAAUGGACAUUAUAACAUCUCAGCUUGGUGAUGUGGAAAAAACAAUUGUAGGACCAGGAUUCCAAGGCACUGUGAGAGAGUAUAUAUCUGCAACUCUUGGAUAUGAUUAGAAAAUAAACAGAAUAUUGUUUGUGGGUCUUUCAAUGAUAGUCCUUAUUGCAUUUAAUAUCUUAUUCUUUGGUAGUUUUGAUACAUCGGUUAAAGUUUUAAAUUUCCAGAAAAGAUAAAAGAUAUACAUUACUAGGUUUCCACAUCAUAGUAGUAGUAGAAGAUUUAUGCAUUGGAUAAGAUUGUCAUUGUACUAGGUUUUCAUAUGUCUAAUGAGUCACAUGUCUAAUGAAAUUUGGAUCCUUCAUGGUUUUGGAGCUUCUGUGAUAUUAUUGCAAACAAUAUUUAUACUGAAUUGAUCUUUGUAGAUGUUAUCAUCCAAUGGUGAAUUGAUCUUUGUAGAUGUUAUCAUCCAAUAUUUAUGAUUUCAUAAUCACUUAAGUUGUAGUCUGCAUAGAAAAUAAUUUCUUAUUGUUACUUGUGUUCUUUUGAUAUGUGAAACAUUGUCUGGUAAGAACUAUCAGCAAGAUGAUGUGGAUAGUACGCUGAAGGCUCGACAGAAGGUGAUGAAGAUGAGUCUGAUUUGGAUUUGGCUUCGAAUAUACUUGAUAUUUCUAGAUCCAUUCUUGAAAAAUAAUCUGUCAAUACUAGGGAACAAGUGGAUAUAUUGCUCACAUUAGCGGGUGUUGUUUUGGAAAGAGGUUUGGAGCUUGACUUGAUCUUCCUCUGCUACAUUUGUUUGUAAGGCACCUUACUUCGUCGCACAAAUGAAGUAUAGAGUUUUUUAGAUUCUACAUCGCAUGCAUCCAAGUUAGAGAGGGAUGAACAAACAUUCCGUGGAAUCCGAGUCUAAUAACUCAAUCAUCGAUAAACAAGUACAAAUUAAAGCUCUCACAUGUCUCUCAAGUGAGUUGGAAAAGAAGGUGGGCAUGCUGAUAAUAGUAUUUAGGGUGAUAUCCUCUGAUGGAACCAAAAUCUUGGAAACAGCCAAUGCGCACCGUGCUUCGGUAACUUGCCUCGGCCUUUCAUCCGAUAGUAACCACCUGGUGUCAGGAUCCCGAGAUACAACAAUAUUACUCUGGAGAAUACAUAAAGCACUUGCAUCUCACUCAAGUUUAUAUGCAUAAAGCCCUUGGAAGCUGGUGGUGAAGUUGAAGACUCUUUGAGAUGGCAGAGGAUACGAUGUGCUUGAACUGGUAUGCUUGAACUUUUAAAAUUUAAAUAAUAUAUGCAGAUGAAACCAAGAACCUGGAUCAUAUCCUAAAAGCUUCAUUAGUCUUUCAAUUGAUGACUACAGACACUAUAAAAUUUGCUUGACUUUCAUUAAGACCUAUGCUUUCGGAUGGUGUUAGCAGCAAUGAUAGGUUGGAGAAUAAAAAUGGAUCACAUGUAUCCGAGGAUGGAAGCCUGCAGAAUUAUCAAAGGAAUAGAUGGAUAAAGUGCCCAGUUUCUGAAGGAGCUGCUAGACACACAAUCAUUUUCUGGUAAUUUUCUUUCAAAUAUAAUUGGACCAAAAAGCAAAAGUGAUAUGAACAACUGCUACAAUAGUGCAAAGCAGUGUUUUAGCUGUACUACAGUUUAGACAUAAUAAAACAAGUUUACUAUCAGUUUUACAAUUUUACAAAUUCACUAUCAGUUUAGCAGUGCCCUUUAUCGGUCAGUCGUUGUAGUAAACAAAACAAUGAGAAAUAAUAAAGACAGCAAUCACUGCACAGAUGCAAGAUUCAAGACAGCAAUCCAGGUCAUGAAAAAUAAUAUAGACCAUCUCUUUUAACUGAGCCAUUGUUAUUUACUAAAUUGGUUAAUUUUGUGGUUGUUUUAAGUUUUUGUCAGUAAUUUGUAUCUGAUUUUUUUGGUGCAUUUCCUUCUUGUGAAUCUCUCUAUAGGUGAAGGAGUUGGAAGAGCUAUCAGCAGUAUCAUUCUUACCCUUCUACUUCGUUGUCGAUAUCUCCGCUGCCAUCUCAAAGCCGUCCAUGGGAUUUAAGUUUCUGACAAGUUUCCUCUGUGACAUAGUUAUGUUCCAUUUUUUUACUAUUUAUUUUAAAACAAACAUGCCCAUUAUUUAUAACAGAUGCUUUUAUAUUUUUCUGUAAUUUAUCUUUAAUUAAAAUAACUCUUGGCAUCAAUAGUAUAGAAAAAUAUAGUAGAAUGAUGAAAUUUGAGUAUUUUUAAUUGUAAUAAAUAUAGACAUUUUUAAGAUGAUAAAAAAUUGCAUAAUUUAGCAUUAUAUAUGAAUUAAAUAUUUUAUCUCUUUAUUUUCUUUCAAAAUCUUUGUUAGUAAUUCAAUUUAAUACAGUUUAAUGAAAAAAAAACC